GGCCAGAAUCUAAGAACUUUUACAGAAAGCACUAGUGCCUUUACAUUUAAUAGAACACUGUGUCUCACAGACAAAUCACUUUGGGGUCAAAAGGAGAUGCACAAGAGUUAAAUACUUGUUAGAAUAAUCAGAUGAGCACCAGCUGGCUGUGUGUGAAGUACCCUAUACAGACCCCAUCCACCUGGCAGAUGUGGGACCUGAGGGCACAGCAACAGGCGUUGGUCCACACAUGGGAGAAGCGGAAAGAAGCAGGAAGGAGAGCACGGGGCAGCUGCCAAAGCCCUGGUCGGCAUAGAUUCUGGGGGCUCGGAGGACCACUUGCAGUAUUGUUGCGGGACAUGGGCACUAACCGCGGAAACUCCAGGAUGGUAACUGACCUGGUUUGCUGGGGUCUUAACUUCACCUGCAGGCCAGCCCCCCAGGCUCCGGGCUCGGAGGCCAAGGACGGGAGAGUGGAAACUUAUUUACCCAGGAGCUUCAACAUCAAAAGCAUUAGCAACGGUUGCUUCUAAAAAACUUUCACAAAAAUUGGCACCAUUUAAAAAAAAAACAUGUCCUCAUGAUCUCUGAAUGACGCGGAGCGGGGCCUGGCCUCUGGGAUGGUGUGGCCACUGCCGGGUGAAGCCUUGCCCGGGCCCUCCCAUCCAGAAUGGCUGCGCUCCCACUGCGCUUGGAGGAACGCCUGAGCUCUGAUGGUUCUCGGCUGCUUAUGUGCUUCCUGGGACCAGCUACUGAGCUACAAACGUGCAAG